CCUUGCAAUGUGUUUAGAUCCAGUCGACAAUACGUGUGGACCCGCAUUUUGGUCCCUUGCAAUGUGUCGAUUCCAGUCUACAAUAUGUGUGGACCCAGGUCCACAAUGCGUGUGGGCGCUGAUCCUUAAUGUGCGUGGAUCCAGUCCACCAUACGUCUGGACCCGGGUCCACAAUGCAUGUGGACCCCUGCAAUGUGCAUGGAUCCAGUCCACAAUACGUGUGGACCCCUGCAAUGUGCGUGGAUCCGGUCCACAAUGCGUGUGGACCCUUGCAAUGUGCGUGGGUCCAGUUUACAAUACAUGUGGACUUGGGUCCACAAUGCGCGUGUGGACCCCAAUCCACAAUGUGCGUGGACCCUACUGUAGUUGCUUAAAUUGAGGAUGUAGUCCUAAUUGUUUCCCUGUACUUUACGAGGUAGCUCAGAAAUGGCGAGGGAAAGAGGCAACAGAGAGUUGGGUUUUCGUUGAAAGGGUGGUUGACCUUCUCUGUUCUUGCCAAUGAUUUCUCCAUAUUUCAACAGCCCUUUUGUUCCUCUGGAAAUGGAAUAUAACAGAUUCAUACAGAUGGAACAUUGUCAUUUGGUUUUAAUUUCUGCUCUUUAUGCAAUCCUUCUUACUCAUUCCAUGGAAACUCUGUUUUUGGUUGUCUGUAUUCUAUGAACUAUUGCUGCUAGCUUAAUCUCUGUCAGAUGGCUAGAUGCCUUGAAACUUGAAAGUGAGGCGAUGGUGAUAUUUCUCGGUUUCUGUUCUUUCUGAGCUACUCAUCUGGGCAAUUGAGAUUAACUGACCCGUAUCUUGGCGGGGCAACCCGGAAUAAUACCGGCUUUGCAGCCAUGGCGGCGAUUGCUUCUCUUUUACCCCUAUCAGGAACACGGAGCUGAGCCUCAAAGGCAUUUGAUGUAAGGCAACAGAGGAGGAUCGAAGAUGCUCCUUCUCAUUGGCGAAUCCAUUCUCUGCUGCUUCUGCGAAUCUGCUGCAACGGAUCAAUGUCAUCGAAGAAGGUAACAGAGGAGGAUCGAAGAUGACGAGCUUGUGGGUGACCCAAGAUUAUCCCUUUUUUGCAGCCAUGGUGGCAAUGACUUCUCUUUUGCCCCCAUCAGUAACAUGGCGCUGAACCUCAAAGUAGCUCAGAAAUGGAAGGGAAAGAGGCAACAGAGAGUUGGGUUUUUGUUGAAAGGGUGGUUGACCUUCUCUGUUCUUGCCAAUGAUUUCUCCAUAUUUCAACAGCCCUUUCGUUCCUCUGGAAUUGAACUAUUUAUUAGAUUAAUUACAUUCUGUCCUUCCAUGGAUUGAUGGAAACUCUGUUUUUGGUUGUCUGUAUUCUAUAAACUAUUGCUGCAAGCUUAAUCUCUGUCGGAUGGCUAGAUGCCUUGAAACUUGAAAGUGAGGCGAUGAUGAUAUUUCUCGGUUUCUGUUCUUUCUGAGCUACUUAUCUGGGCAAUUGAGAUUAACUGACCCGUAUCUUGGCGGGGCAACCCGGAAUAAUACCGGCUUUGCAGCCAUGGCGGCGAUGGCUUCUCUUUUGCCCCCAUCAGUAACACGGAGCUGAGCCUCAAAGUAAGAAUCCUGGUGAUUUUGAUGUUUGCCGGCCAUUUCUAGUACGAGGGCAUAUAUUUGACCCUUAUCCCUUUUCUUUUAAUGGGCUCAAAGAAUGAGGCUAUACAGAGAAUAUGGAACUUUUAUGGGUGGUUGCACAUUUCUGUUUGCCCAUGAUUUCACUUUAUGCUUAAUGCAACAGCCCCCUUUCAGACACUCUGUGUCUGUAUACCUGCGUAUAUAUAUGAUCUUUCAGCUAGCUAGCUUAAGCUUUAGUGUGUUACUACUUGUAGUAAGUAUAUUACUGGCAAUGUUGUUGCUGUGGACCAUAUAGUUCUUGAUUUGCUGCGUGGUGGUAAUUUUGAGGUUUUGUACUCGUGCAUAUGUGUGCUUGAAUACAUAUGUAUAAAGAGAUUUAUGAGGUGGUGAUGAUGAUGGAUCUUUUGAGCAAAAAAUGGUAGUGAGAUGAUUGACCUGUAUCUUGGCAGGGCAACCUUUACUUGUUUGUGAAUAUUUUCACACCCAAGAUGGGGUUUGCAGCCAUGGCAGUGCCAAGCAUUUCAAUCCUGGAAUUAUAGGGAUCUGAGCCUCAAUCUCUAU